GCGGGCGGCGCUGGAGAGUGGCGAUCUGGCAGGCAGCGAAGGGUUUGGGGGCUUUUGAACCGCGGUCUCUGCGAGGGUGGACGGGCAUGGAAGCGCGAAGCCUCAGCGUCCUGCUGCUGCUGCUCGCCGCUGCGGCCACCCCCGCCCCCCGGGAUGGGGAGCCGCGGAGCUGCGAGGCUGUCCGGAAAGUUUUCCAGCUGCGUCAGCUCGGCUCCUUUAGGGGCGUCCCGGAGUUCCCGAGGGCAGGUGUUGAUCUCCAGGUUUGUACUUCUAAAAACCCAACGUGCUGUACCAAAAAGAUGGAAGAAAGAUAUCAGACUGCGGCAAAGCAAGAUAUACAGCAGGUGCUUCAAACAUCUAGUGCUACAUUAAAAUUUUUAAUAUCUCGUAAUGCAGCAGCUUUUCAAGAAACCUUUGAAAUGCUCAUCAAACUGGCUGAGAAUUACACAAGCACACUCUUCUGCAAUGCAUAUAGAAACAUGGCUGCUGAGGCUGCAACACGUGUGCAGGAGUUUUUCACAGACAUUGCACUCUACAUAUUUGGCACAGACAUCAGCACAAAGGAAUGCGUCAACAGAUUUUUUGACAACUUGUUCCCAGUGGUCUACAAUCACAUGAUUAAUCCAGGUCUGACUGAUGUUACACUGGAAUAUGCAGAGUGCCUCCAAAUGGUAAGAAGAGAUAUCAGGCCCUUUGGUGACAUUCCUGAGAAAGUCAUAAGACAAAUGGGAAGAUCUCUGUUACCCAGCCGGAAUUUCCUGCAGGCUCUGAAUCUGGGGAUUGAAGUAAUCAACACAACAGACCAUUUGCAUUUCUCUAAAGACUGCAGCAGAGCGUUAUUGAGAAUGCAAUACUGUCCCCAUUGCCAGGGUCUGAUUUUGAGUAAGCCCUGUAUGGGCUACUGCCUCAACGUCAUACGAGGCUGCUUAGCCUACGUGGCAGAAGUUGACCUUCAUUGGCAGGGAUACAUUCAGUCCUUGGAAGAGCUCUCAAGUGCCAUGCAUGGAACAUACGAUGUUGAGCACGUGCUUCUAAAUUUUCACUCACUUGUUAAUGAUGCUCUCAUGCAAGCUCGUGUCAAUGGACCAGAAUUAACUGAGCAGGUGAACAAGGUAUGUGGUCCACCUGUAAGGAAGCCUACGCAGUCUCCACAUUGUUCUUUUGAUCGGAACAAAUAUAGCCAAGGACUGAAGAUGUUCUCAAGAGAUGUCGAAGAAACUCUUGCCAGCAGAAGAAAAGAAUUUAUCAGCCACCUUCGCCUCUACAGAGCCUUUUAUGGUGGCCUGGCUGAUCAGCUAUGUGGUAAUGAGUUGGCAGCUGCUGAUGAUAUCCCAUGUUGGAAUGGAGAAGAUGUUGUAAAAAGCUAUACUCAUCAUGUGGUUGGCAGUGGAAUCAAAGCUCAGGCUGGGAAUCCAGAAGUAAGAGUGAAAGGAACAGAUCCUGUAAUAAAUCAAAUUAUUGACAAGCUGAAACAUAUUAUUCAGAAAAUCCUUACAUACUAUAAAAAAAAAAACCACUAUGUACGUCAGCCUACCUCAAGCAGAGAAAAUCUUGUGGAGAUCUCCAGAGGCAGGUGUCACUCUAUUGGCUACACUGGAAAUUAAAACAUUUCAGUUGGGAGAAGUGAUUUCCUAUUUCUAUGUGCAGAAAAAGAUGUGCCUGAACUUAUUUGGAAGGGUUCACAUCUCACAGUUUUGUACCCCUGGACUGCUAGCUGGUGGACCUAACAAAAGGAAAACAAUGUACACUGGACAGAGUUUUCUGGAACCAAGGCUAAGUUUUGAAUUAGCUAAAGAAAAAAAAAAUCCUUAACAUUUAUAUUUUCCUGUUUUUCUCUUCUUCCUUUGAGCGUAAAGCACUGCACAGUGCACAGUUAGAUAACAUACAUGUUGAUGCAGUAGGAAGAUACUAUCAAUUCUUACCCAUUUAGUGCAGACAACAGUAGCACAGAAAACAAGACAGACUUUUCUAGCUAUUUAGGUGGAUAGUGACACUAACUGAAAUAUUCAUUAUAGUGCAGAUGCUCUCUACAAAAGCCUAUUUUGCACCUAAAUUGUUUGCUGCUAUAGCUGGUAAAAACUGCUUGUGUUAGGUUUCUCAACAAAAGAGGAACAUUGUACUAUCUUCUAAUUUGAAAGUUAACGUGAAGUGAAGGAGAGUUGAGGGAUUUGGGGUGAAUUAUACCUAUGACAGUGUGAACUAGGGCACAGCUUUUUUUCUUAUUUUAGAAAAUCUGAUCUAUUUGCUAUUGCAAAACCAUGUGAAGUUUGUUUGGUUUUUUUUUUUUCCUUCUUUUAUUUAUUGAUAAUUUAUCACUUAUGCUCCUUGACUCCUAUAAAAAUAGAUUUUUAAUUUAUUUCUCAUACAUUCUAUCAGUCUCCCCAUAAUAGUGAUUGUAGAUUUCUCUAAUAAAACAAGAAGAUAUUUUGUCCCCCUACCAAAUAGAAAUAGUGGCAAUUUUACGAGUGAAAAGGAGCUUCAGGUGCCCUUAAUUCCCAAUCCCAAUUUGGAAAGAAAAAGAAUAUAGGUACUGAUAUAUAAUAGAGACAGUAUUGAGAGUUGAAGAGGUCUUCAGAACCCCAAUGCUGCAGUCAUAAUGGUACAUACACAACUUCCCAUUAACUUUGAUAUGGCUGUACAGAUGCCCAGGGGUCACUCUGUAAAUGUUGAAAGUUGAAACAUUCUUCUAUAAAUUCAUUGAAGAAUAAAAAAGUCCCUUUUUUUGUAAAGGCUUCACCUGCCAGUGGUUGUACACAUAGAUGAGAUUUAUAUUGCAUAAUGUAUCACAGUGGAUACACUGUCAGAUUUUUAACUAGCUAACCAUAUUAGGUGAAUCUCUCAUCUAAAAUGCCUUGGGAUUUGUACUUACUUAUCUAUUUGCUUGUUUGUUUUUGCAUAUGUGCUUCUCAUACUUAUAAAUAAAAAAUAAAAGAAAAACAAACAAACAAAAAAAAAAGAAGCAGGAGCCCUCUUAAAUUUAAACAUCUAUUUAGAUCUUUUUAUGAAUAGAGGAAGCUGUCAAUGUCUAAUUUCAUAUUUUAAUUGGAUAACGUAACCUUUGUAAUGUGAUCUCAUGAGGCAUAACAGAAGUGGUAUAGGAAGUACACUUCAUUCUGAGUGAAAGCCAUUGUAAGAAAUGUCUUGUCUCUGUACACUUUAAGUUGAAGACUGUUUUAAACAGCAGUGUUGUGGUUUACCUUUGCUAGUGGCCUUUCCAUUUAGUGAAUCAACUGCUGUGCAAUGGCAGCCGUGCCAAUUAGUACACAAUCAACUAGAAUAUAUUUUAAGAAUUCAGCUUGAACAUGACCUGCCUGUAGGGAUCUGUAUUUGUGUAAAGAGUUUCUGUUCUUAUGGUUGAAGAAUUAUAUUCAUUAUUUCUGAUGUGGAACAAUUGGAGUUUGCAGAGGUACAUACAAGCCUCAGCUACUUGCAAUGCAAACAGUGUUAAAUCAUUCCAUUUUCUAUAUUCACAGACUAGCUUGAUGGUGAACCAGAAUGUGAGAGAUAUAUCUAGAAUAAAAAAUAAAACAGGAAAGACAUAUCCUGUUAAUAGAUUAUUAUAUUAGAAUUGAUACAGAUUUUGAUUGAUGUAGAUUGAUUGAAACAGAUUAAAAUUUAAUAUAGCAUAGUGAAUCUCAAUUAAACAAAUAAUAUUUUUGGCGCUGCCCUUGCUCAUUUAGUAAACUGCCAGCUACACCAGAAUACAUAGAUGCUCUAUAUCAUUAAGGGUGAAUAUAUAUUUUAAUAUUACAUUACUAUCUGUGUUCUUCCACAGCAGCUGAACUCCUGUUUAGUCCUGUUCUUUUCAAACUGUUUUUUGCAGUGAGACAAAAUUUGCUACAAUGUAUUUUAUUGAAAUAUUAAGGUAUUUUUUCUGCAAAUAUUUCAUACACCAUCCUGAAUAGUUUUGAUUGCUAUUUAAAAGGUUGAGUUAAUUUUACAAAUAAAUUUUUUGAAGUGUAAGAAUUCAGUUACUCUUUACCUUUGAACUUCUUUACGAGACAUGCACUGUAAAUUUUCUUAACACAUGAUUUUAGAAGUUGCAUUAAUUGAAGCUGUUAUUUGCGCCCAAGUAAAUGCCAAUUACUUCCCUCAUAUGUUUUCUCACUGCUUUCUCUCACAGCUGCUACACAGUAGUUUUUUUACCCUUUCUUCAGUACAUUUCCCCAGGGUGCUCACCCAUGGCUGCUGGGACAGGUGAUCUCUGCACUGGAGCCCUGGGAUGCGGCUGUGUCCUUCAUGAGGCAGCCCCAGCCAUACCUUACAGAGGGUUUGUGCAAGCCCCACUGUCAGCUCCUUGUCACGGAAACCUUAUACACCAUUCUGAUAUUCUCGACUGAAAUAAAUACUAUAAUACUAAAGU